rnacentral:tRNA from 1 species
CGGGCCCUGGCCGGCGUGCGGCUGGCCGUACUGCUGCGGGCCGUUCGGGUGCGGCUGGUUCGGGCCCGGCUGGCCCGGC